ensembl:lncRNA
AUGGAGUUAAUAGGGGAGCGCUGCGGGUGUUCUGACUGGGGCGUUACUCUGCACGCUCUGCUGCCUGACGACCACGAACGAGCCCCUAGCCCAAAUUCUCCUUUUCCCUGUCUCAGAGCUCCGCGCGUGUGUGCAGCGCCGAGGAGCAGAGCACCCCCCCACCCCAGGCCGGGCCGCGGGCGGGCUUCCCCGCCAGCUGUCUGCACCGUGUGCGCGCCCCGCGGGCUCCUCCACCCCCGGGGCGUCCUCCCGCCCCCACACCACCGCUGUCCAGAAGCCCAGGCACGUCUAACUCGGGUGCCCCAGAAGUCUCCGAAUUCUACGCGUUCUAUACGCCACGGCUGCUCACCUUCCCGCCGACCCUGCGGCGUUGCCCGUCUCGGCGACAGCGGCCCCACGGCCUGGUCUUCAGCACCCGCCGACCCUCACCCCGGCCCUGCUCAGCCCCUGGCCGGCUUGCCAGGCCCUGAGCUCACCUGUUCUCCUUUCCUUUCCUUCCCAUGCUUCCUCUCUGGGCUUCUCACUGCCCCAUCUGAUCGGUUCCCCUUCCUUCACACGCCCGUCCGCAGUGUCCUCGGAAAUCCCAGUUCCUCUCGUGGCCUGGUCCAGUUUUUAUUCACGGGACGAACCCAGGGUAAACCCACAUCCCGGGUGUCACUUGCGAGAGCCAGCAUCUGGCUUCCUGAGGAUACACUGCCCCCAGCUCAGCGUCUUCCAGGGCUCUAUAGGCUGCUGCUUUUCUGCCUGCAGGCUUGCAGGACCUCCCCGACUUUGCAAAAGGGCUCCCUUGUCUUUGCUGCCCUAUCCCUUUCCCUCCCUUCAUCACCAAAUAAGGAGAUCUACAGUAUCCUCCGCUGCCAUUGCCUCACCGCUGCUCCCAGCCUAAUGCCCUGUCAUCUGGGAGCAUUCACCACAUCUUUAUGAAACUCGCGUGAUGACGUCACCAGUGACCUCCAAAUGACCUAAUCCUCCACAUUACCUCAUCUGAUGAAGGCAUUAGAUCCUUUGAUUAUAAAAUGACACCGUUGCUCUUUCAUCAAAAUUUUUUUUCUUGCUGUCUGUCCCACUACAAACCUGGGAUCGUUCCUUACCCCUAGUCACCAUUCUUUUUCAGUCACAAAACAGCGAUACCAAUAGUUAGUGCUUAAUGGCUGCUUAUUUUGUGUCGGGGGAGAAAUACAAGGUGCUUUACAUGCAUUGCUUCUUCUAACCCUCCCAACAACUCUCUGAGGUGUAUGCAAUUCUUCCCACUUUGCAGAUCAGGAAACUGAUAUUGGAGGCCUGCAGAGGUAAGUGAUGUGUCUGAGAUAACGAAGCCAGAGUUCAAGCUGGACUAAAACCCAGGCUCACUGAAUGCCAAAGCGGUGGCUUUUGUUUUCCAGUACAAAAUCUGCUUCUGUUCCGAAAACCUGCUGUUCUUUGUUUCCUGAUUUCACUUUAAAUUAGACACGCCAGGACUCACUUCUGGGCUACCUGCUCCAUUUACUUUCAAAGGGAUGUGUUUGACUUCUGUGGGGGAUGAACCCCUUUAUUUCUUUUUUCAAACUUUUAUAUUUUUUGGAAAUUUAAACAAUACACAAAAGUGGAAGGAAUUCUAUAGUGACGAUCCCUCCUUUCCAAGGGUCAUCACCCAAACCCAACAGUAAUCCGUGUAUGGCCACUCUUGUUUCACUCACUAGUCUCCUCCUCCACGCAAUAGGAUAUUUUGAAGCAAAGCCCAGAAGUCACAUGACUGAAUUGGCAAAUCUUAAAAAUAUUAGGACUCACUUCAAAAGUCUUAGUCACAAAAACAUUCAUAUACUUAAAAAUGAAAAGUAAAUCCUUGAUACCAAUAAAUGCAUGGCUAAAUUAACUUUCUUCA